AGCGAACGCUGGCGGCAGGCCUAACACAUGCAAGUCGAACGAAGUCUUCGGACUUAGUGGCGGACGGGUGAGUAACACGUGGGAACGUGCCCUUUGGUACGGAAUAACUCAGGGAAACUUGAGCUAAUACCGUAUGUGCCCUUCGGGGGAAAGAUUUAUCGCCAUUGGAGCGGCCCGCGUCUGAUUAGCUAGUUGGUGGUGUAAUGGACCACCAAGGCGACGAUCAGUAGCUGGUCUGAGAGGAUGAUCAGCCACAUUGGGACUGAGACACGGCCCAAAC
rnacentral:rRNA from 1 species